rnacentral:rRNA from 1 species
AUUGAACGCUGGCGGCAGGCCUAACACAUGCAAGUCGAACGAGUGGCGGACGGGUGAGUAAUGUCUGGGAAACUGCCCGAUGGAGGGGGAUAACUACUGGAAACGGUAGCUAAUACCGCAUACCAUCGGAUGUGCCCAGAUGGGAUUAGCUUGUAGGUGAGGUAACGGCUCACCUAGGCGACGAUCCCUAGCUGGUCUGAGAGGAUGAACAGCCACCAUGGACAUGAGACAAGGUCUAGACUCCUACGGGAGGCAGCAGUGGGGAAGAUUGCCCAAGGUGCGCAAGCCUGAUGCAGCCAUGCCGCGUGUAUGAAGAAGGCCUUCGGGUUGUAAAGUACUUUCAGCGGGGAGGCGUUACCCGCAGAAGAAGCACCGGCUAACUCCGUGCCAGCAGCCGCGGUAAUUC